rnacentral:piRNA from 1 species
UGAGUCUUCUGUGAUGCUGUGUUC